UCAUUUUGAGUAAAAAAAAAAAUCUACACAAAUUGUUUAAUUCACCUUGUUUUGUAGGUUCAAGUGUUUUAUAUAUUGUGCUCCUGAGUUAAUGUUGCUGAACUGAA